rnacentral:piRNA from 1 species
CCUCCUACCCGGAANAGGACAGGACCAGGC